AUGAGCUUUUCUGUCACCUUUUACAAGCUAUUAUUUAAAAGAGAACAUGAACUUUAUCUGUGGGGACACUUUGAAGUCCAGGUUGAACCUUGGGUAUUUCAGAAAGUAUUUGCUUAUGCUUUGUUUCAAUCACCUGCAAGCACUAUAAUAAAUUUAAAACAAAUUUUGCAGUUUGGUGUCUUUGAAACACUCAUUCACAUAUGGGAUAACUUCAUUAAUUUUCUAACAUGACUCAAACUUUUAUGUUUUUCUUAGGUAUUUACUAAUAUACUAUUUAUUAAAAUGUGCAUUUUCUGCAUGAACAGCU
rnacentral:lncRNA from 1 species